AACCCGGCGGUAAAAUGUCACUUUGGCGUGGCGUGAGUCAUCAGUUCGA
rnacentral:tRNA from 1 species